AUUCUGCCCAUGCGGGGAAGGAUGAGAAGCUUCGACUAAGGUUCGACUCGAGCGCCAGCGAGAGAGCAUUGCCGCAGGCAACGACACGUAGGGCGAAGCGCGCAGCGCUGAGUAAUCCUUCCCCCACCACCA
rnacentral:sRNA from 1 species